rnacentral:rRNA from 1 species
CGGACGGGUGAGUAAUGUCUGGGAAACUGCCUGAUGGAGGGGGAUAACUACUGGAAACGGUAGCUAAUACCGCAUAACGUCGCAAGACCAAAGAGGGGGACCUUAGGGCCUCUUGCCAUCGGAUGUGCCCAGAUGGGAUUAGCUAGUAGGUGGGGUAAAGGCUCACCUAGGCGACGAUCCCUAGCUGGUCUGAGAGGAUGACCAGCCACACUGGAACUGAGGCACGGUCCAG